GAGCAGCCCAGUCAACAUAACAACAGUGUUGGAGCGAGAGAGUAACUGAGUACAUUUACUCGUACUGCUCUUAAGUACAGUGUUGACGUUCUUGUGCUUGACUUUGUCCGUCUACCUGUCGGUGCGUGUGUACUGGUCUGGCUGGCCGGGCGUGGUGGUCCGGGCCUCCCCCUGCCGCCAGUCCUCCCGCACACCUGAGGCUCGUCCGCUAGUCAACGCCUGCAGCACGUGGCACAUCCAGCACCGGGAUGUGCCACGCUCCGGUCUUCGCCGGAUCCUUCAGUUUGCCGCCGUGGUCCUGACGGAACGGCCAAGCCUCAGUCUCCAGUGACGGUUUCCUCCUGUCUCAUCCCGUGUUUCCCUGUGCUCCGGGUCCGGGUCUGUGCCCCUGUUCGGCCUGAACCCCAGAGAUCCCUGAGCUUCUUGUGUCUCUUCAGCAGCUCGGCCUCCAGAGGAGAAAUCUUCCUUCGGGCUUCUUCCUCCCGUUUCCUCUGUUUGAUCAGCUGAUCUCUUUUCCUGGACUCCAGCACUCGGUGCAGCUCCGGCUUCAUCUCCACGCUGACGCCUCCUCUGUACAACUUUAGUUUUCCUCCUGAAUGACAAAACUGAAAAGAGAAGUCGACCUUGCCCACAGGGUUAAAGCCGCGCAAGUGAAUGAGCGACUGUGCGGUGGCGAUGUGAAAACUUUCCCAGCGUCCUCGGCGGUGGAGGCCCGUGAGGUGGGAGGCUGUUGCUUAGCAGCGUCUGUUUGUUUCUUCAGAAACUUCACACAAUCUGAGCUCGACGGUCGAGACGGAGCAGCAGCAAAGAGCGAUUCUCUCCCGGUAAUUAAAGACCAGAAAAUCCUGCCCUCUGAUUGGUCGGCAGGGGUCAGUUAAAUGAUGAUACGGGUCAGCAGAUGUUGCUUGAGUCCAGACCGGAAACAUAUUUUCAGUUGGAGCCGCUUCGACAGAUUAAGGUCAUCAACCCUCGAUAAUCUGGACCAACUGCUCACAUGGACGAGUUCAUCAGAAAAAUCGGUCCCGAUGUGUCCGUGACUCCUCGAGACUCGGCGAACGAAAUCCUGCAGAAGCUCUGAUGUCUAGUUUCAGGGUGAAGCAAGGACACACUGUCCCAUGAACGUCACCGUUCCUCCGCAUCAGGCCAACAUGGAGGCUUCUUGUGUUUGUCCUGAAAUACCCUCACUUCAACAAUGUCCCCACUGACCACGACUUGUCCAAACUUUCCAAAAACAAAUAAAACUUUUUUUCAAAAAGUCCACGCUACAUAAAAAUGUCCCCACUUUCCAAAAUUGUCCUCACACAGAUGUGCUCAGCUUCUAAACAUGUCCUUACUGUCCACAAGUGCUCUCACUCUGCUAAAAUGUCCUUACGUGUCUGAAAGUUCCCCUCCCUCUAAAAUGUCCUCACUAGCCUGAAAUGUCCCCAGUGUCUACAAAUGCCCCUGCUUCCCAAAAACAUUCCCACUUACAACAAAUGUCCUCAGUUCUGACAAAUUUCUGUGUCCUCACAAGCACGUGUCCUCAAACUCACUUUUACCUUUUGUAGCUGCUCAGCAGCUCCCGGUGAAGCUCCUGGUGAC